AUGAACGCUAGCUACAGGCUUAACACAUGCAAGUCGAGGGGCAGCAUUUUAGUUUGCUUGCAAACUGAAGAUGGCGACCGGCGCACGGGUGAGUAACACGUAUCCAACCUGCCGAUAACUCCGGGAUAGCCUUUCGAAAGAAAGAUUAAUACCGGAUAGCAUACGAAUAUCGCAUGAUAUUUUUAUUAAAGAAUUUCGGUUAUCGAUGGGGAUGCGUUCCAUUAGUUUGUUGGCGGGGUAACGGCCCACCAAGACUACGAUGGAUAGGGGUUCUGAGAGGAAGGUCCCCCACAUUGGAACUGAGACACGGUCCAAACUCCUACGGGAGGCAGCAGUGAGGAAUAUUGGUCAAUGGGCGCGAGCCUGAACCAGCCAAGUAGCGUGAAGGAUGAAGGCUCUAUGGGUCGUAAACUUCUUUUAUAUGGGAAUAAAGUUUUCCACGUGUGGAAUUUUGUAUGUACCAUAUGAAUAAGGAUCGGCUAACUCCGUGCCAGCAGCCGCGGUAAUACGGAGGAUCCGAGCGUUAUCCGGAUUUAUUGGGUUUAAAGGGAGCGUAGGUGGAUUGUUAAGUCAGUUGUGAAAGUUUGCGGCUCAACCGUAAAAUUGCAGUUGAAACUGGCAGUCUUGAGUACAGUAGAGGUGGGCGGAAUUCGUGGUGUAGCGGUGAAAUGCUUAGAUAUCACGAAGAACUCCGAUUGCGAAGGCAGCUCACUAGACUGUCACUGACACUGAUGCUCGAAAGUGUGGGUAUCAAACAGGAUUAGAUACCCUGGUAGUCCACACAGUAAACGAUGAAUACUCGCUGUUUGCGAUAUACAGUAAGCGGCCAAGCGAAAGCAUUAAGUAUUCCACCUGGGGAGUACGCCGGCAACGGUGAAACUCAAAGGAAUUGACGGGGGCCCGCACAAGCGGAGGAACAUGUGGUUUAAUUCGAUGAUACGCGAGGAACCUUACCCGGGCUUAAAUUGCAACAGAAUAUAUUGGAAACAGUAUAGCCGUAAGGCUGUUGUGAAGGUGCUGCAUGGUUGUCGUCAGCUCGUGUCGUGAGAUGUUGGGUUAAGUCCCGCAACGAGCGCAACCCUUAUCCUUUGUUGCCAGCGGUCCGGCCGGGAACUCAAAGGAGACUGCCAGUGAUAAACUGGAGGAAGGUGGGGAUGACGUCAAAUCAGCACGGCCCUUACGUCCGGGGCUACACACGUGUUACAAUGGGGGGUACAGAAGGCGGCUACCUGGUGACAGGAUGCUAAUCCCAAAAACCUCUCUCAGUUCGGAUCGAAGUCUGCAACCCGACUUCGUGAAGCUGGAUUCGCUAGUAAUCGCGCAUCAGCCAUGGCGCGGUGAAUACGUUCCCGGGCCUUGUACACACCGCCCGUCACACCAUGAGAGUUGGAAAUACCCGAAGCCUGUGAGCUAACCUAAGAGGCAGCAGUCGAAGGUAGAGCCAAUGAUUGGGGUG
rnacentral:rRNA from 1 species